rnacentral:misc_RNA from 1 species
CCUUUUUUUUUUUGAAAUCUCAUCAAACAUUUAUUUUUGACACUAUUAGACAGAAAUUUUCCUAUUCAGCAAUGUGGUAAAGCCAUGUUUGGUCAGGCAAGUGAAGUGAAAAGAAGAGGUAUAUGUAGCAUGUUAAAUAAUUAAAUAAUAUAUUAAAUUCCCUUUCCUACAUUUUACCAUUUCGUGCUCCACUUCUAAUUACCCUCAUCACCGUUCCCCUCCUUUUUAGCUCUUUCUCGUUUCUCUCUUGCAACAAAGUACCAAUCAUUCUUUCUUGGCCGAAUCAACAUUCACUGAAACCAAGUGAUAUCCAUGGAUGGCAAGCGUGAGCGAGAGUUUGCAAAGACAAGAGGAU